CUAAAUAUUGGCGAGAGACCGAUAGCGAACAAGUACCGUGAGGGAAAGAUGAAAAGAACUUUGGAAAGAGAGUUAAACAGUACGUGAAAUUGCUGAAAGGGAAACGCUUGAAGUCAGUCGUGUUGGCCGAAGAUCAGCCUCGCUUGUUGCGUGGUGUACUUUCCGGUUGACGGGUCAGCAUCAAUUUUGACUGCUGGAAAAAGGCAUGGGGAAUGUAGCAGCUCGCGCUGGAUUAUAGCUUCUUGUCUCAUACAGCGGUUGGGAUUGUGGAACUCAGCACGCCGCAAGGCCGGGUUUCGACCACGUUCGUGCUUAGGAUGCUGGCAUAAUGGCUUUAAGCGACCCGUCUUGAAACACGGACCAAGGAGUCUAACAUGCCUGCGAGUGUUUGGGUGGAAAACCCGAGCGCCUAAUGAAAGUGAAAGUUGAGAUCCCUGUCGUGGGGAGCAUCGACGCCCGGACCAGAUCUUUUGGGACGGAUCCGCGGUAGAGCAUGUGUGUUGGGACCCGAAAGAUGGUGAACUAUGCCUGAAUAGGGUGAAGCCAGAGGAAACUCUGGUGGAGGCUCGUAGCGAUUCUGACGUGCAAAUCGAUCGUCAAA
rnacentral:rRNA from 1 species